CCUACGGGAGGCAGCAGUGAGGAAUAUUGGGCAAUGGAGGAGACUCUGACCCAGCCAUGCCGCGUGUAGGAAGAAUGCCCUAUGGGUUGUAAACUACUUUUAUACAGGAAGAAACACUGGUAUGUAUACCAGCUUGACGGUACUGUAAGAAUAAGGACCGGCUAACUCCGUGCCAGCAGCCGCGGUAAUACGGAGGGUCCAAGCGUUAUCCGGAAUCAUUGGGUUUAAAGGGUCCGCAGGCGGUCAAUUAAGUCAGAGGUGAAAUCCCGUCGCUCAACGACGGAACUGCCUUUGAUACUGGUUGACUUGAGUCAUAUGGAAGUAGAUAGAAUGUGUAGUGUAGCGGUGAAAUGCAUAGAGAUUACACAGAAUACCGAUUGCGAAGGCAGUCUACUACGUAUGUACUGACGCUGAGGGACGAAAGCGUGGGGAGCGAACAGGAUUAGAUACCCUGGUAGUCCACGCCGUAAACGAUGGAUACUAGUUGUUGGGCAAUAGCUCAGUGACUAAGCGAAAGUGAUAAGUAUCCCACC
rnacentral:rRNA from 1 species